rnacentral:snoRNA from 10 species
AAGACUAUACUUUCAAGGAUCAUUUCUAUAGUUUGUUACUAGAGAAAUUUCUCUGGACAUCUAGAGCACACACAAAAAAGAAAAAAAGGAACUUCAUUCUUAUGUUCAGGUCAACAGUCUUUU